GCCUCUCACUGCUGUGGCCUCUCCCGUUGCGGAGCACAGGCUCCAGACGCGCAGCCUCAGCGGCCAUGGCUCACGGGCCCAGCCGCUCCGCGGCACGUGGGAUCUUCCUGGACCGGGGCACGAACCCAUGUCCCUGGCAUCGGCAGGCGAACUCUCAACCACUGCACCACCAGGGAAGCCCCAAAUGCGCAAAUGAUAGAGGCAUACAAUCCUUUUCUUUAUGCUAUUCCUCAGACUAGUUGAACUACCUAGAGGGUCUUCCAGAUUGCCGUCUUCACCUAAAAGGACUUGGCCUUGAUCCUUUGUAGAUUUCUCAUUGUUGACUCCCUUGUUGCUUACAGUCAAAAUUACAUCAGCUGUUAUUCUUCCCAUCUAUAUGUAUUUUUCUUCUAUCUGGGUCUCUUCUUCAGAAAGUCUUGCAACCAUCUUCAAUGUUUAUGGUCACAAUAACCUUAAUAUUUAGCGUUAGGUGACUAAUAGGCACCCAUGGGACAGACUUUCAUGUUUACUUUAUGUAAAAACCAACGAAUUUUAUUGAGUACUACUUAGCCCAAACAAGGUAUUCUUUACAGAAUUCCAAGUUCAACACAUGCUGCCUAGAUGGCAGUCCUAGGAUCCUGGACCAUCUUAGUUAUAUAUCACCUUUUCUCCAUUUGAAUGCAAUAUUCCCUCACCAAGAAUCCUAUGAAGUCUACACUCAUUCAUUGAAGAGUACUGUGCAAAACACAAAACUGAAAGUGUUUGCCCCCUUGAGGUCAGCAACAGUGCUAAGGGAUAAAGAAGGUAGAGAGAGAUAAGAAGUUUGUAUUAAAUUCAAAGACUUUCACCAAGAAUUUAUACAAUUUAUACAAUUUCAGGCAACUGAGAAUUUUAAGCAAAGUACUUUAAGCAAAGUAUACAACUUCAUGACUGAAGUGAAUAAAAUAAUUCUGAAAAAACUG